UAGCAACACUAGCAUUCAAUCUCAUUACAUGUUCAUUGUCGUUGCAGUGCUCAUGAUUAGAUUUCUCUCCUACAACAUUUACGUUUACUAAUAAACCAUUUAUUAUAAUAAUGGUACACCCUGUACUAGUUAUUGUGACUGGCGCAGUGAUAGCAGCAGUCUUCCUCGGCGUAAGAUAUGCUUUUAAUCUCGAAGAAAAUCCUGAAGAAAAGAUGGUCACCAUUAUAGAUGAUAGCUGAAUGGUCAAUAUUACAAUUACCUAGGAAAUAUUCUUAUUAUCUUCACAGUACCAUAUAAUUAGGGUAUCGAAUGUAUAUUUAUUUUAAUUUAACAUUUAGUCAACAAAUUGUUUGUUAUUACUGCAAUCAAAAGACAGGGUAAGUUACGCCUUCGAUGUGGACGUUCGUUGGAUAGCAAAAAGCUAACAGUAAAUAUUACAAUGAUGGAACACAGAUAUGUUCCGUACCGUGCUAAAUGAUGAUAAACCCUAAAAAUAAACAAAACGUAAGACGAGAAUACAGUCUAGAAGUUAAAGAAGUGUUUUUGUAUUGUACAAAAUGUUCUGGAUUGCUUACGAAAACCGUGAGUUGGCGUUUGACGUCAUACCCAUGCUCCCCAUGUUACAAUACACACACUGUAGAACAAGAUAAGCUUAAUUAAGUCUCUACUAAGAAGUAUUUCUUCUGGAAUUGGAAUGAGUUAAGGAACGUAUUAAAACAAAAGAUAUUGUGACUUAUAAUGUAUAAUCUCAAAUAUUCUGUUAACAAUCAUGCGCGGUUGGAUAUUCACAUUCUCUUUUCCAUUUACUGUUCAACACUGACGGACUUAAGAGCAAAUGUCUACAUAUAAUGAUAGUAUCUACUUUAAAGAAGUUUUUUUUAUAUUAUCUGUGCCAAAACUUACUUAGAGCCCCAGCAGACUACAGACUUUUUAUCGGCCGAUAGUUUAGUUGGGCGCUUAAUCAGUAUGAAUACAACGGAUUGGUUUUAUAUAAUUUCAGUUUAACGGCCCAACCCAAUUGCACUAUCUGUCGGUAAAUAGUCUGCAGGACUGCUAGGUUUAAUAACAUUGGUAAGAAUAUUAAAAUAUUUGGGUAUAA